rnacentral:tRNA from 1 species
AAAAUUUUAGUUUAAAUAAAAUUUUUCAAUUACACUGAAAAGAUUAAUUAAUUAAUUAUUAAAAUUUUA